GACGAACGCUGGCGGCGUGCUUAACACAUGCAAGUCGAACGGAAAGGCCCAGCUUGCUGGGUGCUCGAGUGGCGAACGGGUGAGUAACACGUGGGUGAUCUGCCUCUAACUUCGGGAUAAGCUUGGGAAACUGGGUCUAAUACCGGAUAGGACAAUCGUUUAGUGUCGGUUGUGGAAAGUUUUUUCGGUUAGGGAUGAGCCCGCGGCCUAUCAGCUUGUUGGUGGGGUAAUGGCCUACCAAGGCGUCGACGGGUAGCCGGCCUGAGAGGGUGGACGGCCACAUUGGGACUGAGAUACGGCCCAGACUCCUACGGGAGGCAGCAGUGGGGAAUAUUGCACAAUGGGCGCAAGCCUGAUGCAGCGACGCCGCGUGGGGGAUGACGGCCUUCGGGUUGUAAACCUCUUUCAGCGGGGACGAAGCGAAAGUGACGGUACCCGCAGAAGAAGGACCGGCCAACUACGUGCCAGCAGCCGCCGUAA
rnacentral:rRNA from 1 species